AUUGAACGCUGGCGGCAUGCCUUACACAUGCAAGUCGAACGGUAACAGGUCUUCGGAUGCUGACGAGUGGCGAACGGGUGAGUAAUGCAUCGGAACGUGCCCAGUCGUGGGAGAUAACGCAGCGAAAGUUGCGCUAAUACCGCAUACGAUCUAUGGAUGAAAGCGGGGGACCGUAAGGCCUCGCGCGAUUGGAGCGGCCGAUGUCAGAUUAGGUAGUUGGUGGGGUAAAGGCUCACCAAGCCGACGAUCUGUAGCUGGUCUGAGAGGACGACCGACCAAACUGGGACUGAGACACGGCCCAGACUCCUACGGGAGGCAGCAGUGGGGAAUUUUGGACAAUGGGCGCAAGCCUGAUCCAGCAAUGCCGCGUGCAGGAAGAAGGCCUUCGGGUUGUAAACUGCUUUUGUACGGAACGAAACGGUCCUGGUUAAUACCCGGGGCUAAUGACGGUACCGUAAGAAUAAGCACCGGCUAACUACGUGCCAGCCGCCGCAGUAA
rnacentral:rRNA from 1 species